rnacentral:rRNA from 1 species
GCCUACGGGAGGCAGCAGUGGGGAAUAUUGGGCAAUGGGCGAAAGCCUGACCCAGCAACGCCGCGUGAAGGAAGAAGGUCUUCGGAUUGUAAACUUUUGUUGUCAGGGAAGAAAACGGACAGUACCUGACGAGGAAGCCCCGGCUAACUACGUGCCAGCAGCCGCGGUAAUACGUAGGGGGCGAGCGUUGUCCGGAAUUACUGGGCGUAAAGGGCGCGUAGGCGGCACGCUAAGUUAGAUGUGAAAUCCCCGGGCUUAACCUGGGUGUUGCAUUUAAAACUGGCGAGCUUGAGUGCAGGAGAGGUAAGCGGAAUUCCUAGUGUAGCGGUGAAAUGCGUAGAUAUUAGGAGGAACAUCGGUGGCGAAGGCGGCUUUCUGGACUGUAACUGACGCUGAGGCGCGAAAGCGUGGGGAGCAAACAGGAUUAGAUACCCCGGUAGUCA